rnacentral:lncRNA from 1 species
UUUUUUUUUUUUUUGCUUUUGUUCCCUUUGCCUUAAAAAAAAUAAUACUGCUACAGUUUAUAUCAAAGAGUGUUCUAAUGAUGUUUUCUUUUAGGAGUUUUAUGGUUUCCAGACUUACAUUUAGGGCUUUAAUCCAUUUUGAGUUUAUGUUUAUAUAUGGUAUUAGAGAAUGCUCUCUAUUUCAUACUUUUACAUACCCUGGUUCCAGUUUUCCCAGAACCACUUAUUGAAGAGACUGUCUUUUCUCCAUUGUAUGUUCUUUCCUCCUUUGUCAUAUAUUAAUUGACCAUUGGCAUAUGGGUUUAUUUCUCUAUUCUGUUCCAUUGAUCUAUAUGUCUGUUUUUGUCCCAGUGCCAUACUUUUGAUUAUUAUAGCUUUGUAGUUUAGCCUGAAGUCAGAGAGCAUGAUACUUCCAGUUCUGUUCCUCUUUCUCAAGAUUGUUGUGGCUAUUCAGGGUCUUUUGUGUUUCCACACACAUUUUUCUAGUUCUUUGAAAAAUGCUUUGGUAUUUUAAUAGAGAUUGCAUUGAAUCUGUAGAUUGCCUUAAGAAGUGUGGUCAUUUUAACAGUAUUGAUUCUUUGAAUCCAUAAACAUGGUAUAUCUCUCCAUCAGUUUGUUUUAUUCUCAUUUUCUUUCAUUAGUGUCUUAUAGUGUUUGAGUACAGGUUGUUUUUUUUUUUUAACCUCUUUAGUUAGAUUUAUUCCUAGAUUUUUUCUUUCAUAUGAUUGUAAGUGGGAUUGUUUCCUUAAUUUCUCUUUCUGAUAGUUCAUCAUUUAAUAUAUGGGGAUGCAAAAGAUUUCUGUGUAUUAAUUUUUUUUUAAAUUUCAUAUCCUGCAACUUUAUUUAAUUCGUUGAUGAACAGACUAGAGAAGUUUUUUAAGUCCCCCAAAUCUAGUAGGGGUCUGUAUUCAAUCUGCUUUGCAAGAGUCUUUAUUUGUCUCCACUUUUAACAAAAUGAAACUGGAAAUUCAAUACAAAGGCACUAGAGGUAUAGUUUAUACAAGAAAGACUACCCAGAAUUCCAGUUAGAAGAACCAUACUCAAAAGAAAGGCCUUAGUGACUGGAGAAUAAAUAUUUAGGUUAAAAAUAAAAUUCUUAAGGUAUACUUAUUGAAGAGGAUGUAAGUCAGGCUUUCUGUGACAGACACCCAAAAUAUUAGUGGUUUACUCCAGAGAAAAGUUUAUUUUCCUUUCACAUAAAAGUGUUAAUUAGAAUAAUUGCCUGUAGUAACAAAUACACCUUCAAAUUGUAACAACAGAGACACAAUGGGUUUAUUUCUCCCUCACAGAACAGGUCAAAUGGAUGCUUCUGGUCAGUGGGUAGCCCUCCUCUGCAUGAUUCAGGGAACCAGGCUUUUCCAUCUUGUAACUCUAUCAUUAAUAUCACUUUCUGUGUAUUAACUAGAGAAAUGGCUAAGAGGGUAUAAAGCAUGCAGAGCUACUUUUUUCAAAGACUUGGGCUGAACACUCCAUGCAUCACCUCUCACAUUCUGUUGGCUACAACCCAGUCACAUGACAUAUCUAACUAUUAGAGGCUGAGAGAUGUAGUCUUUAUCCUGGUAGUCUGUUUGUUCAGCUAAAAUCAGAACUUCUAUGACUGUGAUAAAUAUCUAUUGCCUUGUAACAAAUUAUCCCCAAACCGUAGCACUUAGAAUGAGAAACAUUUGCUUCAGUUUCUCUGGGUCAGGAAUCUGGAUGCAGCUUAGCAGGAUCCAUUGGCUCUGGACCAAGGUAACCUGACAGACCAGGACUGGAGUCAUCUCAAGGAUGUAUUUGGGGAGGAUCCUUUCCAGCCUCACUCAUUUGACUGUCAGCAGCCUCAGAAAUGCCACUUCAAAGCUUACCCACAUGGCUGUUGGCCGUCAUUAGGUCCUCUUUGGCCAUUGUCGGAGAAAUUGGUUUCUUACCAUGUGAGAGAUGAGUAAUGCUCUUUGUUCCUUCUUCAUGAAAGAAGCAAUAGGCACUAGAUAGAGUCACUUGCCACACACCUGCAAACCAAGAUGUAUUUGCUGUUUCAGUCCCUCCCAGGACUGGAAUUUUAAACAAGUCAAUCUGGAAUUCCUGGUCAGCACUAGUGAGGCCAUCUGCCCAAGAUCCCCUGCCUUCCCCUAAGGGAAGGUCACCUUGCCUGAAAUAACCCACUCUUUUUACAUCCUUUUUCUGCCUAUAAAAACCUUCCAUUUUGUGCAUUUCCUCUGAGUAUCUCUCAGCUAGCCAGAUGAGAUGCUGCCCAAACCAUGAAUUGUUUAAUAAGCCAAUUAGGUCUUCAAAUUUACCAGACUAAACCUUUUUUCCCUAACAAGACAGUAACUGAAGGAGCAUAUUCAUAAAGACCCCUGUGAAUUACCUAGAAUAAAAGCAAUCCUUCUUCAGAACUAGGUGAUAGAAGGAGACUGUCUGGAAGGAAGACAUUUCUUCCUUCACGAGGAAGAUUCUUGUAGCUUCUAUCUGGUCUAAGAAUUUUAUUGAUAGAAGACAUAUUAAUGGGAGAAAAUCAAAUAAAAAUGUAAUAACAUGUUGUCAAAAAAAUAUUCACGACCUAAAAGGUGAGAGUUAGGUUUUAUUCGGUGGACACAACCGAGGACUUAAGACUGGGACACAGCAUUUCAGAUAAUUCUAAGAGACUGCUCAGAGAAAAUAUAGGAAGAGUGAGAGCUGGGAUAUAUAGGAGUUUUGCAACAAAGGGCAGGUAGUAAGAGCAAAAGGUUACUGUUAAUAAAAGAAAAUGAAAUAGCUCAAGUUAAGGAAUUUUAGUACAAGCACUUUAAUAUAGGAAUUGAUGCUUAUAAAGUCAUUGAAAGGGGAGGGGACGUGAGAGUCAAGGGAGAACUGGCACUGCCUUACAGAAACACAGGAAGCAGAGAAUCAUGGUAACGCUUGCCAUAUCUCAGCUGCCUGUAGCACUGAAUUGGGUUAUAUGCAGAAGUUCAUCCAAAAGAUAUUACAAACUUAGCAUUUGCCUUUUGCCAAUACAUCUACCUUCUUGAGAGGAGAAAUGAUGGUUUAUAUUUCUCUUCCAUCUUCCUAAUUGCCUAUAAAUUGGUUAGGUCCCAUUGGUUUAUUUUUGCUUUUAUUUCUGAUGCUUUGGGAGACUGACCUGAUAAAACAUUUGUAUGGUUGAUAUCAGAGAAUGUUUUGCCUAUGUUCUCUUCUAGGAGUUUGAUGUUGUCUUGUCUUACAUAUAAGUCUUUAAACCAUUUUGAGUUUAUUUUUGUUCAUGAGGUAUGAGGGUGGUAUGAGGGUGUGUUCCAGUUUCAUUGAUUUACAUGUGACUGUCCAGUUUUCCUAGCACCACUUGCUGAAAAGAUUGUCUUUUCCCCAUUUAAUAUUCUUGCCUCCUUUGUUGAAGAUUAAUUCACCGUGGGUGUCUGUGUUUAUUUCUGGGUUCUCUAUUCUGUUCCAUUGGUCUGUAUGUCUGUUUUGGUGCCAGUACAACACUGUCUUGAUGAUUGUGGCUUUGUAAUAUUGCCUGAAGUCUGGGAGAGUGAUGCCUCCUGCUUGGUUUGUGUUCCUCAGGAUUGCUUUGGCAAUUCUGGGUCUUUUGUGGUUCCAUAUAAAUGUUUGGAUUGUUUGUUGUAGUUCUGUGAAAAAUGUCAUGGGUAAUUUGAUAGGGAUUGCAUUGAAUCUGUAGAUUGCUUUGGGUGGUAUGGCCAUUUUUUUUUUUUUUUUUUGUGGUCUCUUUGCCAUUUCUAGGGCUGCUUCUGCAGCAUAUGGAGAUUCCCAGGCUAGGGGUUGAAUUGGAGCUGUAGCCUCUGGCCUACACCAGAGCCACAGCAACGCGGGAUCCGAGCCGCGUCUGCAACCUACACCACAGCUCAAGGCAACGCUGGAUCCUUAACCUAGAUCCUUAACCCACUGAGCAAGGCCAGGGAUAGAACCCGCAACCUCAUGGUUCCUAGUCAGAUUCAUUAACCACUGAGCCACGACGGGAACUCCAGUAUGGCCAUUUUUAUAAUAUUAAUUUUUCCAACCCAGGAGCAUGGAAUAUCUUUCCACUUCUUUGCAUAUUCUUUAAUUUCCUUGAUUAAUGUUUUAUAGUUCUCAGCAUAUAAGUCUUUCGCUUCCUUGGUCAGGUUUAUUCCCAGGUAUUUGAUUUUUUGGGGUGCAACUUUACAUUACAUUAACAAAAGAAAAGUCAAAAACCACAUGAUCAUCUCAAUAGAUGCAGAAAAAGCAUUUGACAAAGUCCAACAUCCAUUCAUGGUAAAAACUCUUACCAAAGUGGGUACAGAGGGAACAUAGCAUAACUUAAUAAAAGCCAUUUACAACAAACCCACAGCAAAUAUAGUACUCAAUGGAGAAAAGCUGAAAGCCUUUCCAUUAAAAUCUGGAACAAAACAAGGAUGCCCAAUCUCACUACUUUUUUUCAACAUAGUAUUGGAAGUCCUGGCCACAGCAGUCAGACAAACAAAAGAAAUAAAAUGUAUCCAAACUGGAAAAGAAGAGGUAAAAUUGUCACUGUAUGCAGAUGACAUGAUACUAUAUAUAGAAAACCCUAAAGACUCAAUCCAGAAACUACUGGAACUGAUCAACAAAGUCAGCAAAGUAGCAGGAUAAAAGAUUAACAUUCAGAAAUCAGUCUCAUUGCCUAUAAAUUGGAAGCUUAUUGGCAAGCAAUUCUUGGCCAUGUAGUUAUCCUUCCAGCCUCUUAAAGAGGAAAGGACAGAAAAGAGUGGGGAUAGACUGAGUUAACAGCAGACAAUAUGGCACCACUCAGCCGUUGGGUUUUACUCAACAUUCUUACAAUCUCUUCUGCCCAUAUUUAUCUUCCAUACAAAAGUAGUAGCAAAACAUCCUAGUUCUACCUAAUGUAAUGAGCCAUCAAUUCUUCAAAGAAAAACAUCUGCCUUCUCCCCCCAAAAGUGGAGACUCAGCAUUCCAUGAGUCACUAGCUAUAGCUGGGUAAUAAUCAUUCUUUUUCUAAUAUAAUCACAGUCAUCCUUUCAUAUCAUGUAACCUAAAAUUAAAAUUUUAAUAUCUGCCAUUAUGACUCAUGUAGAAGAGUAGAAAAAGAGAAAAAAUCAUAUUCUGGCUAUGAGAGAAAUAGUAUUGGAAAGCAUAUAUCUAUCCAGUAUAAUAUAUAAUCCAGUGAAAACAAAUUGCUGCCCUUUCCAUGCUGAUUUCUAAGGAAAUCAACCCGUUGCCCAGUGGGUGACUGUUCCCACAAAGGAAGCAUGCCAUAUUAGGAACUCAACAUUUAUUUCUGUUAACAGUUGAGGAUUUUUACACCAAUUGUUCAUCAAUGAUGUUGGUCUGAAAUUUUCCUCUUUUGUAGUGCCUUUGUCUGGGUGUGGCAUCUAGGUGCUGGCUUUAUUAUGUUUCUGUCGAUUUCUCUCUUUAUGUUUGUUAAUAUUUGCUGUAUAGAUUUAGGUGCUCCUAGGUUGGGCGAAUGUAUAUUUACAAUUGUUACAUAUUCUUGUUAGAUUGAACCCUUUGUUAUCAUGUAACAUCCUUCUUUGUCUUUUGUUACAGUCUUAGUUUGAAAGUCUAUUUUUGUCUGAUAUAAGUGUUGCUACCCUGGCUUUCUUUUUUUUCCAUUUGCAUGGAUACCUUUUUCUAUCUCCUCACUUGCAGUAUGUGUGUGUUUCUACAGCUCAAGUGAGUUCUUAUAGGCAGCAUAUAUAUGGGUGGAGUUUUUUUUGUUCGUUUUGCUUUUGUUUUUUGUCUUUUUAGGGCCACACUCACGGCAUAUGGAGGUUCCCAGGCUAGUGGUCACAUUGGAGCUGUAGCUGCUGGCCUACAUCAUAGCCAUAGCAACUCGGGUUUCAGGCCAUGUCUGUGACCUACACCACAGUUCAUAGCAAUGCUGGAUCCUUAAUCUACUGAGUGAAGCCAGAGAUCGAACCUGUGUCCUCAUGGAUACUUGUCAGAUUCGUUUCUGCUGAGCCGCAGUGGGAGCUCCUGGGUGUUGUUUUUGUAUCCAUUCAGUCUCUUUGUCUUUUGAUUGGAGCAUAAAGUCCAUUUACAUUUAAAGUAAGUAUUGAUAUGUAUGUUGUACUUAUUGCCAUUUUGUUCAUUGUUUUCUGGUUGUUUUGUAGUUCUUUAUUCCUUUUUUCUUUUUUUUUCUUUUGUGAUCUAUGACUAUCUUUAGUAUUAUGUUUGUAUUAUUUUUUGUAUGUAUCUAUUAUAAAUUUUUGGUUUGUGAUUACCAUGAGGUUUAUAUACAAGAAUAAUUUUUGAUGAUCUCUUAAAUUCAAAUGUAUUGGAAAAAA